rnacentral:rRNA from 1 species
UACGUAGGUGGCAAGCGUUGUCCGGAAUUACUGGGUGUAAAGGGAGCGCAGGCGGGAGAGCAAGUCAGCUGUGAAAUCUAAGGGCUUAACCCUUAAAUUGCAGUUGAAACUGUUUUUCUUGAGUGAAGUAGAGGUAGGCGGAAUUCCGAGUGUAGCGGUGAAAUGCGUAGAUAUUCGGAGGAACACCAGUGGCGAAGGCGGCCUACUGGGCUUUAACUGACGCUGAGGCUCGAAAGUGUGGGGAGCAAACAGG